AAGAGAAGAGAAGAGGAGAUAUCUCUUAUGAUAAUCAAGGUCUCCUCCAUUUUCACAAUCAUCAUAUAAUCGUCCUUGAUUUUGUUUGCUAUGGCUUAUCCUCUCAGAGAUUAUGCAGCAAAGAAACAAGAAGAGGAUGGAGGCUUCAUCAGUUGACAGGAAAGUUUUCGAGUCAUGAAAUUGGUUAUUCUUUCGUGUUUGUUUUGAAUUGAUUGUUUGUUUUCGAGUCACCAUUGUCGUCAAGCAAAUGCAGGUGCGAAGGAUCAGUUCUAAUGAAUGAUCCAGUGAAUGGAGAACUCCUAAGUAGUACUCGUUUCGAAUAGAGAUGUUGGCAUCUUGUAAUGACUUGCUUUGUUUAAACCUUAAUGGGAAUCUACACUGAUUAUUUGGAACCCCGUAUACUGAAGAAUCUUAGAAAAUAUUAUUGAUGCAUAAUCUAUGGAAUAAACCAUAACUUUCUCGAGCCAUAGGUUAUAUUUCUGAUCAUGAGCAGUCUAGGGUUUUUGUUGGUAAGACUAAACUAAUCCUUGACAAAUUUAGGAUCAUAAAUUAACGUAUGCCAACUCUUGCAUACGCACUUGAAACGUAAGGUGGAUUUCACCGGUAACCUUAACAGUAUAACUUCUUCGAUCUCUCGGGGAAGACUUGACAUUGUUGCUUUCUUCAUUGUAAGUACCGAGCUUGGGUAAAAUUGAUUCGUCAAAGAAAUAGUAUUUAGGAUAUAUGAAAAAAUAUAUGGGUGGCAAAUAGGAUAAUUGGGGGUGACAAUUAAUGAAAGUGGCAAAUAGGAAAAGUGGAGGUGGCAAAUAGGUGGAACCAUAACAAAACCCUGGCCUUUUCACUACUUUCUCCAAAAAUUAGUUUAUUUUCUGUUUUUAGUUCAAAUUAGUAAAAAUCCCAUCUCAAUAUAAUUAGCAUAUUUUUUUUUUUGUUUAGUUAGAAAUUGACUGAUGUAUCAUAAAAUUUGUUUAAUUGGUGUUACUAUUAGUCCUUGUACUGCCAACCUUGCACUUGUGGUGUGUAAUAAUAAUACACGGUUUUUGGCGUCCUGCCGUGUAAUGUUAUCGGAAUUGCUGACUAGGAGCAUUUUCGUUAUCAUUCCCCGGCAGCGGCGUCAAAAAAUUGGGUAGAGGCUAGAGCUAAACUUCAAGUGUGCAUUGCUUAUCUGGAGGCAAUGGCAAUUAGAGGUCUGUUUCAGUGAGGGACUGUUGGAAACACUGACCAUUGGUGUGUAACCUUACUAACCAAAAUAAUUUUUGAAUAUUUUUCAGUGAAACAAUUACUUUACUAUAGGCAGGAAACUGGGUCUUUUGGAACAUCUUUAACUUCACCAAACAUUUGAUCAAAUUCUAAUGCUGUCAUUCUCUGCCUUAAGAAUGUGGUAUAUCUUGGAGAUGUGCAUUAGUAUAAGGUUUCAUGGCUUUAUGUGCCUCUAGUUCUUAUUUUUGUGACUCAAGUAUUGUACAUGCAUUAAUAAUGGGUAAGCUCAAAUAUCCCCUUUUCACCCUUCUCUCUCCCGAUAAUCGACAUUUUGGCUGUACUUAAUUCAGAUGAGGUUACAGAAUCCUACUAUCCUUUUAUUGUGGCGGUUUUUGAUUGAAAGCAUUUAAGCUGUUGGUCAGUUUCUGCAGAUUAUAAAGCAGCACAAUCGCUGUUUGAUUUAUUGAUUCACUGCUGUUUUACUCUUGCAAGUACCAUAAAGGGUGUAAGAGUUUUUUAUUUAGUCAUACAGUGGUGGUCACAUCAUCUGCUAAAUACCAGUGAGACUAGUUUAUCCGAAGAUCAAAAGUGGAGAUAAUCGGCAUGGAAAUGUUUUCUGGAAAUGCAGGUUUUCCCUAUGUAUGUCAAGUUGUCAACUUUCCCUUCAAGUUCUGAGUGAUUUCCAGAUGACAGUGGCCAAACCUUUACGUAAGCAAUCUGUGAAGUUGGUACAGCUGCAGUUAUCUUAACAGUAUUGUACAGCUGCAGUUAUCUUAACAGUAUUUAUGUUGCUUAAACAUGAUAUACCAAUUGCAAUGCAGAUGAGUAAUGCGCUUCUGGCUCCUUGGCAAUCAAUGGUCAGUCUUCUGACCAAGCUCCACUAGCAUCAGCAGAAUGAAGCUCCAUUUAUAGAGUUUUUAUAUUAGUUACUUGUUUCCUUAUCUUAUAUUACUCCUUUUUCCAUAUGCUAUCUAAGCUGUUUGAUUCUGUACUUAAACAAAAGUGAUUUCCGGAGUUGCAUUUAGAGGAUUUAAUAGAGUGAGGAAGUUAAUGUGUGAAAUUGUAGUAAGGACACAUGUCAAAGAUAAGGUAGGCAAAAGUUUGCGACCAGAUUAGUUGGUGAUGGAUGUGGAACCCGUCACUUAUCAACUAGAAAACAUGAAACUUGCACCUGCCGCUGUUUGAAGAUAUUAAUGAUGUCCAGUGUUCUAUAAUUAAGUACACUGCUGUUUGAAGUGCACGAAUCCUGACUUAGUUUCUUGUAACCGUGUAAUUCUUGAAACUCCAGAUGCAAUACCCACCUGUCCAAUUUUUGUUACUGAUUAGAUAGAUUGGUAGGCAAUGUUGAGUGGAGCAGUCUUUUGGGAGUUGCACCUCCUUUCUUGUUAGCUGGAUUUGGUGUAGAACCAUAGGUGUUUUCUAUUGCUUUCCCCUCUUUAUACUAUCGAGCUUUCACCGGCCUCAUCUCGACCAAAUAAUGGCGUAUGAAAAAUGCCAAUAUCGUAUUCGAUAAUUUUUGUUCUUUCUUAAAACAAACUCUAUAAAUGCCUAUGUUGAAUGCAGAUUUAAACUGUUAUCAACCAUAAAUGUUACAAGUUUUAUGUUUUUCCUGUACAAGAUUGUAGGGUUUUAUGUUUUGAGUUUGCAUGGCAGUAGUUUCUUCAAGCUGUUGACUGACUGACUUUUAUCAAUAUCAUGCAGGUUUAAUGCUUGCCAAAAACGCAAAAAUUCAAGUUAAGAUUAAGUCUAUGCCCAGAAGCACCUGGACGAUGAUACAGGACCUUAGCCAACGGCAGCAUCUAGCUAGAGAGACUCUACUUUGCAUUUGGUUCUGCAAAAAAAGAUUUCCUGGAAGUGUAAUUGGAAAAUAGUUACUCUUGUGGUUGCAUGCUCAACCAACAACGCGGAGGAGAAGGGUCCUCUAUAUCUUAUUCGUCGUUAUUCUUCGUCUUUGUGGUGGCAUGUAGUUUUCUGCUAAAACCCAACUAACAUCAACACUCGUUAUUUGAGUUCUCAAGUGAUUUUUUUAACAUCAUGGAGUUGUGGAAGUUUCUAGACAUUGACUUGAAACCUAAAUGUUUUUAGUACUUGUAUAGUGUUCAACAUGGUGAUAUAAUGAUGCAUUCAUUGCUAACUGAUCUAGUAAUUUUAUUUGCAUCUUGUAUGCGGUAAUAUUUGAUAAAUUUUUGACAGGUUUUUUUUUU